AGAAGACAUAUCCACCUCACCUGAUGAACUUAGGCAAGCAUCUGAGGACUGCCAACCAAACAUGGAAAAGCUCACCUGUACAGGUCACCCUGGUCUCGCCUUUAGUGUAACUGAUUCCAGGAAGAUAAUUGAAUGGAUCAAGCUGAAAUACAUAAAAUUAAGGAGUACAGAAGCCAGGAAGACCAGAAGAGGGUGGUGGAUCCCACGAAGCUGAAGAGGCUCUGAGUCGUCUAAUCCGAAGGGAAGAAACGAGUUCUGAAGAAAACUGCAGACAAGCUUAGAACCAGAUCCGACCUGUUCAUUAAAAGUCAAUGUGAGAGUGA
rnacentral:lncRNA from 1 species